rnacentral:rRNA from 1 species
UACGGAGGGUGCAAGCGUUAUCCGGAUUCACUGGGUUUAAAGGGUGCGUAGGUGGGCAGGUAAGUCAGUGGUGAAAUCUCCGGGCUUAACCCGGAAACUGCCGUUGAUACUAUCUGUCUUGAAUGUAGUGGAGGUGAGCGGAAUAUGUCAUGUAGCGGUGAAAUGCUUAGAUAUGACAUAGAACAUCGAUUGCGAAGGCAGCUCGCUACACUAUGAUUGACACUGAGGCACGAAAGCGUGGGGAUCAAACAGG